CAAUUUCUUUGGUAGUUCAUAUGAGGAAGUAAGUACCAUCUGCUUUCGCAGAGAUCUAUAUUUUAUUCACGUUCCGAAUGUGAAGCACCUUUUUCUUCUCUCAUAUAUCUUCUACUUCUUAUUAGUCACACUUUUACAACGAUUGUAAAACAUAGUUACUAAUACGGAAUCAAGCAUUCAAGUAGAAGAACCAACUGUUUUGAACUAUUCAAGAACAAUUUACAACACCUUCGAAAGGGUGUGUUCUUGACACUUGCAAGACAUUUCUUGCAAAUACCCCUUCCAAUGUCCAUCCUUUCAUAAAGAAAAGUUUGUUCCCUUGGAGUUAAUUUUAUCUUCUUCAUUUGACUUCUCCUUUGACUACAAUAGUCAUGGUCCCUAAACUCCCACUAUCUCUCUUGAAACUUAUUUUCAAUUGUGUUAUACACAUCAAACAUUUUUGGAGAGCAUGUGGUUAUUGUUCACUACAUAGUUUACAAUAAACUUAGUGAACCAUUAGGAUAGGGACACAAAGGUGAAGUCCUUGCCUAGUUUCCGUCUCGUUAAGUGGUUUAUCACUUCAACACUCAAUGAUUCAAAAUCAUCAUAUAAGUCCAUGUUAAUGGACUAUUUUUGUCAACCAACCAUUAUGUUCUAAACAUAAUUACAAACCUUUCAAGAGUUGUACAAGGCAACUCUCAUUUCUUCAUACAACAAUUUGUAAGUGAAGAAUCAUGGCACAUUAAAGUGUCCAUGCCUUUGUGCUUUCUUCUCAAGUUCUUUGUUCAUUUAACAAAGAAACAAGCACUAAGUGUUUGCAUUGACUAAGGGUUGUUCAAAGCAACUCUUAUUUCUUCAUACAACGAUUUGUAAGUGAAGAACUAAUAACACUAAAAGUGUCCUUGUCAUUAUGCUAAUCUUCGUAAGUUCCUUUGUUCAUUUAACAAAGGAUUAAGCAUUGGUUGUUUGUGUUGUCCUCUUCAUGAUAGACCUUUUCUAACAUGUUCUUCUAAUGAUACAUUAUCAAUAGGAAGAUUGUGAGGAUGAGACUACUUAGGUACAUUAUACAAUCCAUUUAAGAGACAAUCUUUGGGAUUGUUGUUACCAAGUCCGGAAACUAAAGCAUUCGGCUUUUUUUUGUCAAGUGUUGGAUAGCGUUUGCAAAAUAUAUUGGUAAACAAAUACAUAACGAAUAUAAAUUGAUUGAUUUUAAGCCAUUUGAUUCGGGUCUUUAAAUCAAAUAGCACCACCCACUAUUUUUGGCAAAUUCCAUAUCCCUCAUUGGAAUUCGAGAGUUUUGGAUGAAACUCUUAGUAGGUUAUGGGAGGCUCACUAUUACCAAGCCCACCUCAGAAUGAUAUCAUGUUUGGCUAGCAUUAAUAAUAAUGAGAGAGUACGCUUACUCAUUUGCAACUAAUGCAAGUACCCAUCUUAUUUGGCCUCUAGAGAAUGAUGCCUCAGAAUGAUAUCAUGUUGGCGUCCAUUGCACUUAGUUAAGUCAUUCCCACCAUGCUUAGUUCGUGUAAGGGGUUCAAGAAUAGCCUCACGAAUGAUAUCAUGUUGGCUAAACCUCGUUGCCUACACUCACUUCAUCAUGUAUGUAUAUAGAACUCCUCCUGAGUGUAAGCAUGCACUUUGUGUACUCCCCCAUGAUAGGGUGAAGCCGGUGUACAAGUCACAAACGAUUGGAGCCUACCACGGUGGAAGGCCACGAAAGAGUGUUCAAAGCACUCUCACGCUUAUCAACUUAAUAAUGGUUUGGUUGAGGGUUUUAGGUCUCAUCACAUAUAAACAUACAUUUUAAUCUCUAUUAAAACAAUUUUGGUCCUAUUACAACUAUUGGUCCAUAUGAUUGUUUUUAGUUGUAUAUAAUACUCCCACUAUGCUUAUAAAACGGUUUUUAAAAGCAAGAGUAUAUGAUACUACUAACAUAACCUUUGCAUUCAUUUGAUGGACUAUAUAGUUGCCUUAGGGCCUUAGGAUGAUUAUGAACCUUUGUUUAGAUUCAACACGAGCCUUGUGUUGAAUCUCGGUCUAGGAAUGGUGAUUGAUUUUUAGUUACGCGUUUAAUCACAUUAAGGCGUGUUGUCUUAGGGGCGUUGGACCCAACUACUUCAUUUUCAUGCAUAUCAAAUAAAGCAAGAAAGAAGUACUUCAAAGUAAAGGUGAGCUUAUGCUCAUUACAACAUUUGCAUAAAACAAAUUACUUUAAAGUAAAGAAGAGCUUAAGCCCUUUUACAACAUUUGAUCAAAUCAAAUUACAACCAAAAUCUAAUCUACACAUUCCCAUGGUUCAAACAAAUUUGAAACGGCCUUUCACAUAGCUCAAUUAUAUUAGGCUUAGGUUCAUAAUCACCCUUUAAUUAAUUAACACUUUAACUAAUUAAAUUGAAUGCAACAUUUUCAUUUGGUUUUUUGUAUCCAUAAAAUUGAUUUAAAUGGAGCUAAACAAAAUGAAAAUCCAAUUCUCAUUUAAAGAGACAAAACAAUUUUGUUCUCUACCUAAUUUGGGCCAUCAUGCAAUAACCACAACUUUUGGGCCAUAAAGCAAUUAACCUCAACUUUUGGGCUAUAUUGCAAAACUUUUGGGGUCACUUUGUAAAGACACAAAAGUCCACUACUUCAUGUAAUUACAAUAGAACCCAAAAUUUAAUCAAUGCAAAAACUUCAUUAAAGGAGCAAAACAAUUUGUCCUUUAGCGUUUUUGGACCUAAACGUAAAAACGUAAACUUUUGGGCCAAAGUGCAAAUACACAAAAGUAUCAAAACUUUAUGUAAUUGCAUAAAAGCCCCAAAAGUACCCCCACUAGGGGGUGGCCGGUUUUUGGAAGAGGAUAGAGUGAUGUGUGUGUUGAUUUGUGAGUUUUGACAUAAAGCAUGCAAGUGGUGCAAGUGGUGUGUGUGAAAGGGAAUUAAUCCUUACACACCCAUCACCAUUUCCAUCACCUUUCAAAUAAAUGUCUAAUGCAUUAAAACAUUUGAAAAACAUAAAACAUAAACUUUAUGAAAUAAAUCAAAACUUUGAAUCAAAACACAAACCUUUUUGUUCUUGGCAAAAAUGUCAAGAACAAUGAAGAACAUUCAUGAAAAAACCCAAAAUUUUUCCAUGAACUUUUUCCACCCAAAAACAUUCCAAAACCAUUCAAACUUUAGGGAAAUAACAUCUAACCAAACUAGGGUACAUAGGGGUUCCAAAAGUCACUUGAAAACACUUUUAACAAGUCAAACAAGAACCCAAAAAUCCACCCUUUGGAUUUGGCCGAAAAUCCCCAAAAUCAUGGCACCAAAUUUUAGCUCCAAUAUUCAUGCUCAUAUGAACUACAUCUACAACAUUUGAGAUGGCAAAUUUUCUAACAAAAUUUACAUUCAAAGAAACAAGAAUAAAGCUUGUAACAUAUUACAACUUUUAAAUCACAAACUAUGAACUACAAAACCCAAAAGGAUUCACCAACUACUAGACCUAGGCUCUGAUACCACUUGAAGGAUUUAUUUUGUGAAAACAUGUUCAUUUAAGCAACAUCAUAUAGCAUGCAAUUAACAAUUAAAGGCGGAAUCAUGCUUGCAUGCACUUAAAAACAAAACAUUAACCAUGAAAUUCAAAGCCUAGUAGAUUGGUGAACCAAAACUCAACUCAAAACAAAGUGAGUUGAAAUUAUACCUUUGUAGAUUCCUCUUUGCAUAAGCAAAGGCUAAUCACCCAAAGAGAGGGCCUUCAUUCCUUGCAUCUUAAAUCUAUGGAUUUGGAUGGAAGAAUAGGUUUCUCCAAGUUCCCAAAAUAGGGAACCUCUAAGUCUCUUCACCAAGGAGAGAUUGGAGAAGAAAUGAGUGACCUUGGAGUAGUGGGAUUGCUAGAUGCACCCUCCAAGGUGGCCGGCCUCUUUAGAGAGAAAUGGAGAGACAUGUUCUCACCAAUUUUUCUCCAAAACAAAACCCUUAAUGAAUUUUAGGCUAUAAAGUCAUAUUUAUACCUUUAUUUUCAUUUGAGUGGCAAACUUGUAAAUAAGUCCAAGUUCACUACCCUUUAGCAUCAUGGCCGGCCAUUAGGGUAUUUUUUGGGCUAAUUUGGGCCUUUGUGAAUCAUUAUUCAUUAAGUUGUCAUACAACUUAAGUCAAUGGGCUUGACGUUCGAAGCCCAUUGGGCCUUAAGGUCCAAAACUAUCCCGAGGUCUUUAACGAACUUAUUCGUUUGAUUAAUUAACAUAUUAAUUAAUCCUUGCCAUAAAUAAAUGAUUAAACCAUUUAAUCAUUCUUACUCAUCUCCAUUGUUUCUUCAAUCUCCACCUUACACGGUGUGCGAUCCAUUAGGUUCCUUUUAGCGAGGCAGUGGGCGAUUAAAACCAUUUUACAUCGAUUGUGAAUUGAAACUUACUUUCAAUUCUCCCUUUAGUGAUUACACACGUUUAGGGCUUCCACAAACCAUGAGUGACACCUAGCAGCAUAUCAUGGUUACCCAAGCUAAUCAGAAGAGGUUAGAGAAAACCUAUUCAGUUUGGGAUUACAAAUGCAAUACGGUCUUUCUCUAAUACUAAUACUCUUGACCACAUUGUUUGGUUUGAUAGUUUAUUUAUUCAUGUCUACUAUCCAAUGUGAUUCGUGUGCUUAUAUGAUUUACCUUGAAUGUGAUUUAGGAACGACUUUUCUAAAUCUCAUUCAUACUCUGGCCAGAGAUUCUAAAUCAUAUCAUAGAGUAUUCUCCCUCAAACAGUUUGAAGGUUAGAGAUCCCUUGUUGCGCAUUCACUUGCCUCCAUGGCUAAGUGGCUUAACCCCAACGAUGCCGUGGACACCCUCCUGAUGGAGGUGACUUUGACAUAAUCAAAGAUCAAGGACUUAACCACAAGACAACUAUGAUGCCUCAGGUCAAAGGACUACUUUGCAUUAUCCCAACCAUGAGUUCUCAUGUGACAUGAGUAUGAGAACUCUUCGUUGAUCGCGUUCAGUGAACUCAUUCUCUACUGAGCACCUACGUACUUGUCUUGAUGUCACACACACCAAUGACUCGAGACUAGUCACUCUCCCUGAGAGAAGACAUAGCACGUACCGAUCUUGACGGACUGUCAAUGCCCAAUUGGCAAUCCUAUGAUCAGGAACAUUUAGGAUGUGUCUACGAAAGAAUGGUCUCAUGAAUCUAACUUCAUUAGAUUACAUUCUCCCAAUCACAUAUUCCUUGGACUUUAUCGUUUAAGCAUAUAACAUUUAUAUGAGACGGCUCAAACAAUAAUCUUUGCCCUUUAUAUUAAACUAGAUUAGUUUAACAUGUGAAAUGUCUGUAAAGCAUCAUCACAUGAUUGGUUUUAGGGCACAUUUCCAACAUAAGGACACUCAAUCAAACAAACAAAUGCAAGCACAAACUCUGCUCAAAGCCAGAUUUGCCUUCAAAACAAAGCUGUAGUCAGCCUUCAUCCCUUUCGGGGAUAAACCUCCAUCCCUCUCGGGAUAACCCUCUCUUCAACCUUUUGUAAUAGCUCUGCUACCUUGUUCAACCUUGCUGUAGUAUCGAUUAAUCUUUUGUAAUCUCUCUCUCUCUCUACCCCUCUAAGCUUUCAGACAUUUGACAAAACUACAAAGAUAGGAACCUGCAAGAAGAGCAACCUUACCCGAUAAGGUUUAACCUUGCCCGACCUUCUUUGCUUUAGUUUUAUCUUUUCAAUAUGUUGUAUACUUCCAGUUAUAUGCAAGUUAUUUCUAGCAACAUGAUUAUUAAGAGGCUUUCUCAGUACUUGAAUCCAAUUUGAAUAUAUCGUCAGUGUUCAAACCAGAUCCAAGUCCUAAGCCCUCGGGCAUGUAAAUCUGAUCAGUUAAAAGUCCUUGGCCUCAAGGCAUAAAAUAGAACCUUAUGUGGACUUAACCCAUCCACGACAGUCCUUGAUAAACGAGAAGUCCGAAGUUACUUGGGGCGCAAGUAAUCAACCUACCUUCUAGUUUUCUUUCUAUUAUGUCAUGAUUAUCAUAGAACGCUUGAGCAUGGGAUGGAUUCUAAUGGAAAGCCUCAAGGCCUACACCUAAGGCCCCACAAAGGCAUCCAUUUGGAUUCAUUCCGUUCAGCGAUCUAAAGAGUCUAAGUAUAAGAAUGAACUCUGAUGGGAAGCCUCAAGGCCUACACCUAAGGCCCCACAAAGGCACCUAUUUGGGUUCAUUCUACUUCUUGGAUUCGGGUAAUCAGAAGUAUAAUAGUUAGAAAACUCCUACAAUCACAAGAACAAAUAUGAUGCGUUCGAGCACUGGUUUAGUUAUUUAUGAGAAGCCUCAAGGCCUACAUCUAAGGCCCUACAAAGGCACCUGUUAUAACUAACACGGUUUCUUGAAUACAUACAUAUAUACAACUAAAGCACGACAACCAUUUUACAUCUGCCAUGCUAAAGAUGGCAGUUGCACGCCUGAGCACCUAAAUGUUAACCUUGAUUGUGAGCCUCAAGGCCUACACCUAAGGCCCCACAAAGGCACCCUUCAAAGUUAAUGCUGUCCUUCUCUUUCAGCCUUACCCGAAGAGUCUUGCCCGAAGAGUCUUGCCCGACGAGACUUGCCCGAUAACGCCCGAAAACGAAGCAGAAGCCCGACAGCAGCCCUCAACCGGCGCCAACCUCCAGGGGAGCUGUGUGCUCGUCGGCCAGGAAACAUCCCCGACGGAAAUUCCUGCCACGAACAAGUAUAAUUUAAAUAAUAAUAUCAAUUGUAAUUAAAUGAUUAUUGCUUGCGUAAUAAGAUGCAUGCAUGCACACUCAUACUAGUAUAUAUUAGAUGGAUACAUACUGAAUAGUGAUUAUGUUGAUGAUGCGAAAAUUAUCUUAACACACAAAUUUAACCCUCUUUUGACAAUUGUAGUACAAGUAUAAGUAGGGAUCGUUCUGGACCGGAGAUUAGGAGGACUCGCUAAUAACCUCUAAACUAACUCAAAAAACAUAAAACUAAACUUAAAAACACUUAACAAGACUCACAAGACUCAAAGCAAACUUAAAAUACUCAAAACAGCUUAAAACAACCAAAUAAACUUAAACUAGACACUAGGAAUGACUUUGGACGAAAAUUGACUUUUACUUGAAUCAAAACACUUAAAAACACAAACUAAAACAGAUUUUAAACACUUUGAAACAAGAAACUAAAAUGGGGGUUUUGAUUUGGAUGAAGUUGAAACAAACAAACAAGUAUGAAAAACUAGACAAAUUGUAAAACAAAUUUGAGAACUAAGAUGAUGGAUGGGAUAGCUAGAGGCUUUUUCUCCACACAUGACAUGUAUGCAAAUAACUUGAUUUCCAGUUACUGCUUCAUUGAAUUAUGAACGACAAUGCUCCAAAUUAACCGUGACAUCACUAGUUAACUCUCAGAUUUUCCUUGUUUUAUUGGAUUGGAUGACAUCAUUCGACAACCCAAAACAUUCUUCAAAAGUUCCCUACAUGACAUCAUAAUAGAGAUACAAUCAAAGAUCAUUACGUUUAAUGAAAAUCAUAAGCAUUGACAAAGCACUUGCAACUAUGACAUCAUGUCGCUUAUGCUAGGAAUUGAACUUAACGCGAUCGUUUAUAAGCGACCUUCACUACAUGUGAAUAUAAGUUUGUAACGAUUAUGUGAAACUUCCUUAUAUUCUAGCAAUGGAUUUAUGCAUGCCAAUUAAGUGUCGACCCUUAAUUAACAAAUAUAAAUAAGUUAUCAAUCAAAUAGUUAAGCCAAUUGCAUUCACGAUUCAAGAGUUCCUAACUGGAAUUUAUCAAAUUAUAUUGCACACAUAAUCAUGGCUUUUAAAUCACCCCUAGCCAAGAGGGGUUUAGCCACUCAUAUUUACAACAAAACGAAAGGAAAUGAAUUUAAACAUUAGAAACAAAAGAAAGAAAACACCUAAACGCUCCAACGAUCCAAGUUGGACAGCAAGCAUGUCCAAGCACUUUCUUUCCCUUCCUUUGCUACGGCACAAGGUGUUGGUGAGUGUUUGAAGGUUUGUUUAUAUGGAGGAAUGGAUGUAAAGAUGAAUGGAUGUGUUUGGAUGAAGGUUGUAUUGAAAUGGGGAUGAAUGAUCAAGCAAAAACUAAACUAUAUGGCUGCCGCACACACUUCCUUUUAUAGAGGAAGUGCACCGCAAUGGAGGGAAAUUGGUGGUGUGUGCAAUGAUUCAAGGGUGAAAAUGAAGUAAUGAUGCAAAGCAUGGGGGGUAAAAUGGAGUGGUGUUGCAGCAAUGAGUGCAUUGAGUGGUGUUUGAAAUGAUUCAAAGGUGAAAGUGAAGUGAUGAUGCAAAGCAUGGGGGGUAAAAUGGAGUGAUGUUGCAGCUAGGGAACAUGAACGAUUGUGCACUUGGUAGAGAAAGGAAAGGGAGGUGAAAUGGUGCAGAAAUGAGUCAAAGGUGCAGCAAGACUCAUGAUGCACGGCAUGGGAUUUCAAAUGUGAUGGAUAGUGCAUCAAUGAGUGCAUGUAGUGGAGGUAAAAGUUGUAUAAAAUCUGAUGGGUGAAGGGGACAAGAAAUGUGCAGCAAUUGAGUGCAAUGAUUCAAUGUUUUUAUGCAUGAAAUCAGAAAUAAUGAAGGAGACAAAGGUGGUGCAUGACAUGGGUGGAAAUGUGAGUAAGUGGUGAAUCAAUGAGUGCAAGGAGGUGAAAGGAUUUUGUGCACAUGGUAGAGAAAGGAAAGGGAAGUGGAAUGGUGCAUCAAAUGAGUGCAAGGAGGGAACAUGGAUGAAUGUGCACGGCAUGGAGUGAUUUAUGGCAGAAAAUAGGAAAGGAAUGGCUCCCUUGCACGGCAAGGAAGAGAAAUGGUGAAGGAUGGUAUGGCUUGGACUUUUAGGGAAGGUUUAGGACUCGUAAAAUAUGUAAUGAAAUGUCCCAAAGUAUUUAGGAACCCUUUGUGUGACUAAUUUAGGAUUAGGAAAGGUAACGACAAGAUAAGGCAAGUUUGACUAGUCGUUCCUCAUUCUUAAUGGUUUCCUUGUCUUCCUUGGUCCUCAAUUUAUUUUCUUCCUUUCCUUGGCACAUUCCUAGCUUCUUUAUAUCUUUAAUUCCGUCCAACCACUUUGCUCCAUGCAUGUGAUAUCCAUUCCAUGCCCAAAACUGCUCUAAAAGGCACCAAAAUGCACUUCUUUGCCUUUUUAACCCUUUGUACCUACAAUCACACGAAAAUGGCUUGAAAUACUAAAUCAACUAAGAAAUAACAACAUAAAUGCACAAGAACAAGCUAACUAAGUCGCAUAAAUAUGCUCCUAUCAAAGUGAUGAUAACCGAAAGGCCGACGUUUUAUGUUGUUAACUGUUAAUUGUUGGAUAUUCAAAUCUCUCAUUUGUAUAAAUAAAUCAGAAUCGGAUACCUUUGCUUACUUUCUUGUUUGUUUCGAAUCCUCCAAUUCUAAUCAUCAAGAAAAGUAAAAAAUAAAUAAAGAGUAAGCCGAUCAACAAAAAGAAUAUUUCAAGUUGCUUACAGACUUUUCAUGUGAUGGAGUGGGGUGUGCUCGGGAGAUUGUGUGACGUGAUGAACUUCUGGAGUUAAUUUUGGAUGCGCUAUUCGAAGAUUUUUCACGUCAAAUAUAUUGUUUGAUUUGGUUUGUGAGGAUAGUUAACUUUAAUUUAUUUGUGGAGGAUGCUCUUUUACCAUUUGAUUAGGUUGAAAGUUUCAACAAAGUUUUUAUCGAGGUCCAUCUUCACUUUAUACCGAUUUCCUCAUCUUAAUGAAUAUCAUACAUUUUGUUCCAAAAAAACAAAAUGAAUAUUUCUUAUUCACAUGCAAAUAGUGCUCCACUUAAUUGGGCCCGUGAACCUUUUCUAGUCUAAAUUGUAAUUGAAAGGAGGGGCACGUGAAUUUUUGCAAAAUUUGGACACAUCGGCCGAUAGUUUUUCUGUUAACCUUUUGAGGCAUGCACUAGUUUGUUGGAUGUGGAUGUAAAUUUUCGUCUUCUUCUUCUUGGACGAAAAUGCACCUGCAAAACAAUUAACACUUAAGGUCAAUGCUAAGAGCCUCACGCUCCCACGAUGAAUUGGAGGGGGGGUUUGGCCGAAGAACCUCUUAUGCCAAAGUUAGAAUUUGAGGGAGAAAGUGUUUAGAGAAAUUUGGUGAAUUUUGCAAGAGAAUUGGACUUAGGUUUUUGGAGAAAUGAGAGGCUAUAUAUAUAAGGGUGUGGUCGACCUUAUUUGGAGAAAAGGGGUUCGGUCACUUAUGGUGGUUUUUUGCUAUAAUUGCAAGAUAUUAUUUAUUAUGUCAAAAUAAUAUCUUGUAAUCAAUCAGGAAAUUAAUUAGAAAAUUAAUCAAUUAAUUUUGGUAAUUAAUCCUAAUUUGAAAAGAAUAAAUAGGGGUUACUUUGUGGGGAGGAUUUGAUGAGGAUUGAUGAAAUAGGUUUUGAAUAAAUACCUAUUUUGGUCACCUUUGACCUUGAUUGAACCGUUAUUGUCUACUUCUUGCGUGUGGGAGUCCCAGUAUGCCUCGAGGGUAAUUUUGUUUUUUUAACCCAAGAAUCCACGUGUCGCAUUCAUAUUUUUCUCGAUUAUUUUUGGCUCCACAAAUACCCCAGCACCUGUUGGACUACUCGUAGAAAAGGGUAGCAGGUGUAGAGAUCUUCUUGCUUUAGGAAACAUAGGAAUGUUUCCUAUUUUGAUGUAGAUUCUCUCUCUAAUUGAAAAUUAGAUCCUCAUAGGAAAGGGAAAUAAAUUUCUCCCAAAGUCUAUUUAAGUCUACCUUAGAGAGCAAUCUAUUUUACCUACAAGAGAGAAAGCUAGAGGAUAUUUGUUCCCCUCCCCUAGGAAUCUUCUACACUUGCCCGUGCAAAUGACCAUCUUUCAUUGCUUUCUUCGUCUUUACGCCGCACCAAGGUAAGAAAAAAUUAAUUUUCCUUGUCUUCUUAAUUUUUGGGAGCCUCGGGGCUUGAAAUUUAGCUCGACGGGGGUCGAUGAGGUGUGCAAAAUUAGUUGGAAAGUCACGUAGGAGUUCUGGUGUGCCUCGAGGGUAAUUAUGUCUUUUUCACCCAAGAAUCCAUGUGUCACCUCCAUAUUUUUCUUGAUUAUUUUUUGUUCCACAAAUGCCCCCACACCUGUUUGGUUGCUCGCAAAAAAGGGCAACAAGUGUAGAGAUCUUCCUGCUUUAGGAAACAUAGGAAUGUUUCCUAUUUUGAUGUAGAUUCCCUAUUUAAUUGAAAAUUAGAUCCUUCUAGAAAAGGGAAAUAAAUUUAUCCCAAAGUCUAUUUAAGUCUACCUUAAGUAGAUAAGAUUAACUUUAGAGAGCAAUUUAUUCUACCCUACAAGAGAGAGAAAGCUAGAGGAUAUUUGUUCCCCCUUCCCUAGCAAUCUUUUACACUUGGCUAUGCAAAUGACCGUUUUCAUUGCUUUCUUCGUCUUUACGCCGCACCAAGGUAAGAGAAAAUUAAUUUUCCUUGUCUUCUUAAUUUUUGGGAGCCUUGGGGCUUGAAAUUUGGCUCGACGGGGGUCGAGGAAGUGUGCAAAAUCGGCUGGGAAGUCACGGCUGGGUUGCUGCCAUGUGUGGCUCAGCUCAGGCUAAGGGUUGGCGUGGUUGGCUCAGGCCAAGAAGCUGAGUUGGAUGGUUAGACUUAGGCCCACAAGAAAAAGUGGAAAAGGGAGGGACAAGGUUGCCAACCCCUUUUUCGGUGGAAUUAGGUCGCGAGGCCUAAGAGCUGAGGGAGAAUGGGCCAGGCCGUAGGGCCUGGCGUGGCUGUUGCUAGGCUCAUGUGGCUUGGGCCUUCAGUUUUUUUUUUUUUUUUUUUUUUUUUUUUUUUUUUUUUUUUUUUGAAUGAUGGGCUCGACCCUAUGCUGGUAUAGGAAGGAGAGAGAGGCCGAGAAUCAUGUUCGGCCAUGGGGCCUGUUGUGCCAUGCCCCUUCUUCUUUUAUUUAUUUAUUUUUUUUUUAUGUAACCGUCUAACGAAUUUUCCUUGCAUCUUUAUAGAAUUUCUUCAAGCAUGUCUUCCUUAAGCCACAUGAAUGAUGAUUGUGUGCUGCCAUUGUAUCGUCAAAGCGGGUCUUUGAGCAAGGUUGGCUACUUCAAGGCUGCUCACUUUAAAAUUAGCUUCGAUGACUUGUUUAGAGAUUUCCUUGAGGUAUAUAGGCACGCUAUUCCGUCGGGAGUGCGUGUGAAGUGUGUCAAGGAUGGUAGCAGCCAUGAACCAUGUAGUGAGGCUCGGACAACCAUCAAGUUUAACCCUUACUACUUUGUGUUAGGGUUUACUUUUCCUAUGCCGCGUUUUUUCCAAGAAGUGCUCUGCUCCAUGAGAUGUGCCCCUGCUCAAUGUUCUCCGAAUGCGGUCCACGUGAUGGUGGGAUUCCUUAAUCUAAGCCAAUUCUUUGACUUAGAUCUAAUCGUCAAUGAAUUUUGUUACUGCUUUGACAUAGGCCACAUCGAGGAAGUUGGGUAGCUACGAUCUUGCCAUAGGCUCUUUGACCAUUCGAGUAAGGGAGAUCAUGACUAGGCCAUGGAGACUUUGGAGAUAAGCGGAGAAUGAGAGUCUGAUUCUUCCCCCAAGCUGAGUGUUCUGACGGUUUUCAUCUCUGGUAAGUAUGCUGCUUAGUCCCUCGGCUACUUUGUACUUUCACUAAACUGUGUUCUGAUUUAUUGAUUGUCUCCCUCUGCUCUUGUAGAUUUGUAAUUUGGCUUAACUCCUAAGACUUCUUCAGAAAUGAAAAAGUUCAUGUCGCUCUGGGUAUCCCUUGGCAAUGGCUGCUUAGUCAUUUUCAUCGAGAGAAAGAUGAACUGCCCCUAAGGGAAGAGAUAAAGCAAAUCAAGGUUAAGGCGUUGGCUCGCCUGAUCACAGUUGUGGAGCCUGCAACAAAUGAAGGUGGGAAAAACAGAUCUUCCUAGCUUGCUCAAGAGAAGAUGGCUGAGAAAAAGCCAAAGACUUAUUCUGCUGCUUGCGAAGGUUCGUCGGCUGUCCUCAGGCUUGCGAUUGACUUGACUUCUUCCAAGGGUGAAAAUGAUGAGGCUGCUAGAUUCGUGCCAGUGAUGCAUGUCGUUCCAUAGGUGGCUAGUUUGAUUGCUGAUUGGAUUGCUCAGCGUAUAAAUUCCGACGUGUCUCCAGUGCCAAAAUUUAUGCCAAAACGUCCUUAUGGGGCUAAGUUUGGUUCACCUUUGGAGAGGCUCGCUACUAUGAAGAGCCACAAGGUGCCUUCGCUUGCUAAAGUGAUGCCAAAACCCAUUCCUCAUGCUGCUGAGACCGAUUCGCCUGCUGAGAAGAAUGAGACUGCUUGUGCGGGCAGUUAUGAGAAAUCCACAAAGUUUGUUUCUAGAGAAGCUGCUGAGAUUUGUACGCUCUUGAGACCUGAUCUGCUCGAGGAUAUGGAUGCGUAUGCCAAGUUUGUUUAUGGCAUUAGAGAGGUUGUCUGCCCAAGUUCCUUUGCGAAGCAUACGACCGAGUAUAGGAAGACUGCUCUGCUUGCCAUGACAUAGAAGACGACGAUUCCAGCAACUGAGUCUAUGCUCCUUGACUAAGAAGACACCAAGGCUGCCAAAGAGGUGGCAAAGAUUAUGGCAACCAAAGUUUACUCCUCGGUCGAGAAGAUCAAGAGGUUGGAAUCUGAGCUUGCUGCUUUGAAGGGGUUUAAUAUCUUUACCCCCACUUCUAUGUAGCUUGAGACCGCUCUCCAAGAGAUCGUGGAUUUGAAGACUAGGCUUGACGCGAUCCAAGUUAAGUAUGAAAGUGCAGAAAAGGAGAUCAAGUGUUACAUACCUUAGAUUCAAGACCUUGAGCGUGCCAUCUCUGAGUUCUGCUCUACUUCUUACGCAAAGGAUGAAGAACUAAUCCCUGCUUAUAACCAAGUGAUCCAUUUCAAGAAUGUUGUUGAUAGGCUUGAACCUCAAGUGUUAGAUUUCCAAGGUGUUUUGAAGAUCAACGACAGUCUGAAGAAGGAAGUGGAUGAGCUACAGUGCAUCUGUGCUGGUCUACUGGGAAUGAAAAGGUUGGACUUGAGGCUUCACUUACUUAGAGUUAAGACGAUUUCUACAAGUUGGGUUAUGUAGACCAUCUCUUUGGGCAUUCGUCUGCCUUUGCGUUUUCUGGUAAAGACUUCGAGACCUUUUCCAUUUCUUCUGAAAACGUGCUCAUCUUUACUUUCGAGGCUUCCAUUAGUGACGUAGUUGGAGAAGCUGAUGCCUAGGCUGGGGCAGCCGAGAAUCAAGCGUUGGAUGGUGCCACUGCUAAGGGUGCCGUGGUUGUUGAUGGUGUGGCGACCGAGUAGUAGUGGAGCAUCCAAGCUUCUGAGUGAAGGAAAUUUAAUGAAAACAUGUUCAUUUAAGCAACAUCUAUAGCAUGCAAUUAACAAUUAAAAGGCAGAAUCAUGCUUGUAUGCACUUAAAACAAAACAUUAACCAUGAAAUUCAAAGCCUAGUAUAUUGGUGAACCAAGACUCAACUCAAAUCAAAGUGAGUUGAGAAAUUUAUACCUUUGUAGAUUCCUCUUUGCAUAAGCAAAGGCUAAUCACCCAAGGAGAGGGCCUUCAUUCCUUGCUUCUUAGAUCCAUGGAUUUGGAUGGAUGAAAUGGUUCUCCAAGUUCCCAAAAUUGAGAACCUCUAAGUCUCUACACCAAGGUUAGAUUGGAGAAGAAAUGAGUGACCUUGGAGGAGUUGGAUUGCUAGCUAAUCCCUCCAAAGGGGCCGGCCUCUUUAGAGAGAAAGGGAGAGACAUGUUCUCUCCAAUUUUUCUCCAAAAGAAACCCUUAAUGAAUUUAGGCUAUAAAGUCCUUUAUAUAGUCCCUUCAAAUAAGUGACCUAAAGAACCAAAAAGCCAUUCUUUUAACAUGGCCGGCCAAUUGAGGGAUUUGGGCUUUUGGGCCCUUGUGAAUCUUUAUUCAUUAAGUUGUCAUACAACUUAAGUCCAUGGGCUUUGACGUUCGAAGCCCAUUGGGCCUUAAGGUCCAAAACUAUCCCGAGGUCUUCAACGAACUUAUUCGUUUGAUUAAUUAACAUAUUAAUUAAUCCUUGCCAUAAAUAAUUAAACCAUUGAAUUAUUCUUACUCAUCUCCAUUGUUUCUUCAAUCUCCACCUUACACGGUGUACGAUCCAUUAGGUUCCUUUUAGCGAGGCAGUGGGCGAUUAAAACCAUUUCAAAUCGAUUGUGAAUUGAAACUUACUUUCAAUUCUCCCUUUAGUGAUUAUACACGUUUAGGGCUUCCACAAACCAUGAGUGACACCUAGCAGCAUAUCAUGGUUACCCAAGCUAAUCAGAAGAGGUGGAGAACCUAUUCAGUUUAGGAUUACAAAUUCAAUACGGUAUUUCUCUAAUACAAUACUCUUGACCACAUUGUUUGGUUUGAUAGUUUAUUCAUGUCUACUAUCCAAUGUGAUUCGUGUGCUUAUAUGAUUACCUUGAAUGUGAUUUGGAACGACUUCCUAAAUCUCAUUCAUACUUCGGCCAAAGAUUCUUAAUCAUAUCAUAGAGUAUUCUCCCUCAAAUGGUUUGAAGGUUAGAGAUCCCUUGUUGCGCAUUCACUUGCCUCCAUGGCUAAGUGGCUUAACCCCAACUAUGCCGUGGACACCCUCGAAUGGAGUGACUUUGACAUAAUCAAAGAUCAAGGACUUAACCACAAGACAACUAUGAUGACUCAGGUUAAAGGACUACUUUGCAUUAUCCCAACCAUGAGUUCUCAUGUGACAUGAAUAUGAGAACUCUUCGUUGAUCGUGUUCAGUGAACUUAUUCUCUAUUGAGCACCUACGUACUUGUCUUGAUGUCACACACACUAAUGACUCGAGACUAAUCACUCUCCCUGAGAGAAGCCACAGCACGUACUGAUCAUAACGGACUGUCAAUGCCCAAUUGGCAAUCCUAUGAUUAGGAACGUUUAGGAUAUGUAUACGAAAGAAUGGUCUCAUGAAUCUAACUUCUUUAGAUUGCAUUCUCCCAAUCACAUAUUCCUUGGACUUAUCGUUUAAGCAUAUAACAUGUAUAUGAGACGACUCAAACAAUAACCUUUUGCCCUUUAUAUUUAAACUACAUUAGUUUAACUUGUGAAAUGUCCGUAAAGUAUCAUCAUAUGAUUGGUUUUAGGGCACAUUUCCAACAAUCUCCCACUUGCACUAGAGCCAAUCAACUUGGUCAUCGGUGAUGAUACCUCUUCUGUAGUCAUUUCAUAAAUGGCUGAGUAGUAGGCCUAGACAAUGGAUAUCUAUAUGUUAUCCAUAGAAGCAACCUUGAGAAUAACGACGUCACCAUUAUACAUGAUUCUUAAUCAUGUGGUUCAGUCUCUCAUUUGAGUUUGGACCUUGAUGAGACCUUGAUUCCCUGGCUUGAGCUAUUGCCCCAUUAGUGUCAUAGUGUCAGUACACUAGAUACACUUUCUGGUUGGAAUCGAAUAGAGAGUUCAUAAAUGAACUUUCCCAUCCAAACAACAUUGUUGUAAACUUCUAUAUGGCAAUAUAUUUUGCAUUCAUAAUGGAACACACUAAAGUCAUUACUUUAAUGUUUCCAUCUAAAUAUCUCUUUAGUCAUAAUAAAGAGAUAUCUGUUUAUCUCUUCAUUCAUAAUGAAGAAACAUCCAAUGAUGGAUUAGAUUCAUAAUCUAAUGCAUUUUUCCAUUACGUUACACUAAUUCUUCCUCAUUCUUUGAGGAAUUUAUCCUUUAGUAUUUCUUAAAUACUUAAGGACUCACUUGACAGUUGCCAUGGUUCUGAUCCUGGGCUUGCACUGAUAUCGUAUUGUACCGUUCUAGGUACAACUCAUAUCAAUGUUUUUCAUACAAUAUGAAAUACAUAAAUCACCUUUCUGCGUAUGCAUAAAGGAUUCUAUUUACACAUUAUUUCUUUGGGAGUCAAAGAGUACGUUCUCUUUGAGAAGAGCAACUUCUUAGUCUCACUAGAGUUGUCCUUUUGAUUGAAGUUCAUCAUCAUAUGAGAAACUUCCUAUCAUCUUUUGUAUAUAUUUAGGGCUUGAUAUAAUCCAAUUAUAUCCUAAAAUCUAUCAAUAUAGAUUUCCAUCCCAUGUAUAUAGACUAUGUCUCCCAUAUACAUUCUAUCUUCAUAUAAUGUUUUAAAGUCAUAACUUUAACGAAGAAGUAUUCUUUUCAUUUCCAAAAUUAAUAUAUCAUAUAUUUAAAUUUUAGGAACAUGAUUAACUCCUACUAAUCUUUUGUAAACCUAGUAAACAAAAGAUUCAUUUACAUCUUUAUGAGAAAUCAAACGAUUUGAUCCUUUUCUCAUAAGAUGCUUAUAGCUCCCACUAGCUUGCUAAGAUUCAUGAUGGAUGGAUCUCUACAACUUACAUGUCCUGUGAUUUAUAGUUUUAGACAUAUAUUAUCAAGACUAUCUUAAUAAUGGUUUCGGAAACCCAUAUUAUGUCCAAAUAUUGAAUCACCAUUUAGUUGUAGCUAGCAAUCUUCGAAUUAAUUGAAAACAAGACUACGUCAAAGAUGGUUUCUUCAAAGUCAACCAUUCUCUUUGAUUGUAGUCACCUUAAGCUACCAAUUAGCUAUUUAAGGUUUCAUUAUUUCGGGUCAAAUGGUACUUUACCAUUUCCUUGAGUAUAUAUCGUAUAUACACUCAAUGUAGUCAUAAGGAUUUUCAUUCUUAUUUCUUUCGAAUUAAGAGGUGUAACUCUAUGACAUAGUCAUAAAGUUCAAACCAUUCAACUGAGACGGUUUAUAAAUCCUUCUGGACUACCUUGGAGCUUGUGGUAUAGGAACUAGGUUGUUAUAUUUGUUGAUUACUUUCUUGUCUCUCAAAGAACCCAUUCUUUGAGUUCUAUCUCUCGUUCAUUUGCUCUUAGGCAAAUCACAUUGUAGGAUUACAAUGAACUACCCAACAAAACAACAUUUGUUAGUUAGUUUAUAGAAGCGAUAUCCAAAAGUUAAUUUAAGGAUAUCCCACAAGAUUGUUAUCAAACAAAUAUUGCUUAUUAGCACACAACCCCAAAUCUUAACAUGCUUGAGAUUUGUCUUUCUUUCCAACUACAUCUUAUGGAGUCAUGAAAAUCUUGGAAGAUCUUCUAAUAUAUAUAUCCUAUAUAUGGGUAAUAGAUAACAUCUAACGAACUAAAUCUUAUUCGAGUUCGUUCUUCUCCUAAUGGAGAAAUUCAUUAUCUUAUGAUGCAAUUUCCUUGAUAUCUUUCAAGGAAACUCAUCUAAAGUGUUACUUUUCCUUGGAUCAAAUCUAAGGAGGUAAAUACUUUCGAUGUCUUACUCAUCAACUUACAUUUCUUGAAUUCUUUGAAACAUUUUACAAAGUAUUCGGACUUGUGUUUAUUCAAAAAUAAACUAUAGUCCAACCGAGAGUGAUCUUCGGUGAAUGUCAUCCAACAUGAGUAGUAUUAUGUUGUGGACAAGUGCCACUAACAUCUAAGUGAAUUAACCUCAACAACUUUGUGAUUCUUUCUUCUUUCCAAAAAGAAUAAAGAUUCGAACAUUUCGCCUCUAUACAAUUUUAACAAGAAGGUAUUGGAUCCAGAUCUAACGAUCCAAAGCAUCCAUCUAUGACCAACUCGUAAUUUAUGUUUUAGAGGUAUCACAACUCAGUUGGGAUUAGUCACUAUCUUGCAACCUUUUGGGUUUUAAGCAUCAUUAUAUUCUAAACAGUUAACAAUACCAUAUCAUCUCUACUAUAGAGACAAUCAAUUAGAUUACUAUAAUCCAAUCAUUGAUUAAUAAAGAACAAUGUUUUGUCAAACAAAACAUUCAUCCAUCUCUACUAUAGUGACGGAAUUAAGUUCCUUAAAAUUGGAAUGUAAAGACAAUCUUUGGUUUUUCCAAUUUCUUUGGUAGUUCAUAUGAGGAAGUAAGUACUAUCUGCUUUCGUAGAGAUCUAUAUUUCAUUCACGUUCCGAAUGUGAAGCACCUUUUCUUCUCUCAUAUUUCUUCUACUUCUUAUUAGUUACACUUUUACAACGAUUGUAAACAUAGUUGCUAAUACGGAAUCAAGCAUUCAAGUAGAAGAACCAACUGUUUUGAACUAUUCAAGAACAAUUUACAACACCUUCGAAAGGUGUGUUCUUGACACUUGCAAGACACUUCUUGCAAAUACCCCUUCCAAUGUCCAUCCUUUCAUAAAGAAAGUUUGUUCCCUUGGAGUUAAUUUUAUCUUCUUCAUUUGACUUCUCCUUUGACUACAAUGGUCAUGGUCCCUAAACUCCCACUAUCUCUCUUGAAACUUAUUUCAAUUGUGUUAUACACAUCAAACAUUUUGGAG
rnacentral:lncRNA from 1 species